rnacentral:rRNA from 1 species
UACGGAGGGUGCGAGCGUUAUCCGGAUUCACUGGGUUUAAAGGGUGCGUAGGCGGGAAUGUAAGUCAGUGGUGAAAUCUCUGAGCUUAACUCAGAAACUGCCAUUGAUACUAUGUUUCUUGAAUUUUCUGGAGGUCAGCGGAAUAUGUCAUGUAGCGGUGAAAUGCUUAGAUAUGACAUAGAACACCAAUUGCGAAGGCAGCUGGCUACAGGGAUAUUGACACUGAGGCACGAAAGCGUGGGGAGCAAACAGG